rnacentral:rRNA from 1 species
CCUACGGGAGGCAGCAGUGGGGAAUAUUGGGCAAUGGGCGCAAGCCUGACCCAGCAACGCCGCGUGAAGGAAGAAGGCUUUCGGGUUGUAAACUUCUUUUGUCAGGGAAGAGCAGUAGACUGUACCUGCCGAAUUACCCAUGGCUAACCACGUGCCAGCAGCCGCGGCAAUACGUAGGUGGCAAGCGUUCCCCGGAAUUACUGGGUGGAAAGGGCGUGUAGUCGGGUUGAUAAGUCAGUUGUGAAAUUCUGCGGCUUAACCGCAGAACUGCAUUUGAAACUGUUGGUCUUGAGUACAGGAGAGGCAGGCGGAAUUCCUGGUGUAGCGGUGAAAUGCGUAGAUAUUAGGAGGAACACCAGUGGCGAAGGCGGUCUGCUGGACAGCAACUGACGGUGAGGCGCGAAAGCGUGGGGAGCAAACAGGAUUAGAUACCCUAGUAGUC